CGCCUCUUGCUAACAAAGGAAGUACUAGAGGUCCCGCCUGCCCUGUGACCACAAAGUUUAACGGCCGCGGUAUCCUGACCGUGCGAAGGUAGCGUAAUCAUUUGUCUUUUAAAUAGAGACCUGUAUGAAUGGCAUAACGAGGGUUUAACUGUCUCCUUCCCCCAGUCAAUGAAAUUGAUCUGCCCGUGCAGAAGCGGACAUAAAUACAUAAGACGAGAAGACCCUAUGGAGCUUUAGACAAAAGAUCAAACAUGUAAAGAAACCAAAACAACCAAAAGGAACACGAAGGCCACAAAACCCAACGUAAACUGAUCUAAAUGUCUUCGGUUGGGGCGMCCAUGGGGGAAAGAAAAGCCCCCACGAGGAACAGGGACAACCCCUAAACUAAGAGGGACACCUCUAAGCAACAGAAAAUCUGACCAAAAU
rnacentral:rRNA from 1 species